rnacentral:misc_RNA from 1 species
AACGCACAUUGCGCCCCCUGGCAUUCUGGGGGGCAUGCCUGUUCGAGCGUCAUUACAACCCUCAAGCUCUGCUUGGUGUUGGGCGUCGUCACCUGUGGCGCGCCCCAAAGUCAGUGGCGGUGCCGUUCAGCUCCAAGCGCAGUAGCACUAUUCUCGCUUUAGGGGCCUGGGCGUGUGCCAGCCAGCAACCCACUACUCGAAGGUUGACCUCGGAUCAGGUAGGGAUACCCGCUGAACUUAA